rnacentral:rRNA from 1 species
GUGGCGAAGGCGGCCCCCUGGACAAAGACUGACGCUCAGGUGCGAAAGCGUGGGGAGCAAACAGGAUUAGAUACCCUGGUAGUCCACGCCGUAAACGAUGUCUACUUGGAGGUUGUGCCCUUGAGGCGUGGCUUCCGGAGCUAACGCGUUAAGUAGACCGCCUGGGGAGUACGGCCGCAAGGUUAAAACUCAAAUGAAUUGACGGGGGCCCGCACAAGCGGUGGAGCAUGUGGUUUAAUUCGAUGCAACGCGAAGAACCUUACCUGGUCUUGACAUCCACAGAAUUCUGCAGAGAUGCGGAAGUGCCUUCGGGAACUGUGAGACAGGUGCUGCAUGGCUGUCGUCAGCUCGUGUUGUGAAAUGUUGGGUUAAGUCCCGCAACGAGCGCAACCCUUAUCCUUUGUUGCCAGCGGUU